AGACAGCAGUAGCCACGGGAAAACGGAGGGUGCAAGCGUUAUCCGGAUUUAUUGGGUUUAAAGGGUCCGUAGGCAGAUCUGUAAGUCAGUGGUGAAAUCUCACAGCUUAACUGUGAAACUGCCAUUGAUACUGCAGGUCUUGAGUAAAUUUGAAGUGGCUGGAAUAAGUAGUGUAGCGGUGAAAUGCAUAGAUAUUACUUAGAACACCAAUUGCGAAGGCAGGUCACUAAGAUUUAACUGACGCUGAUGGACGAAAGCGUGGGGAGCGAACAGGAUUAGAUACCCCGGUAGUCCCUGUCUCUUAUAC
rnacentral:rRNA from 1 species